ACUAAGUUUCAACAACGGAUCUCUUGGCUCUCGCAUCGAUGAAGAACGCAGCGAAAAUGCGAUAAGUAAUGUGAAUUGCAGAAUUCAGUGAAUCAUUCGAAUCUUUGAACGCACCUUGCGCUCCUUGGUAUUCCUUGGAAGCAUGCCUGUUUGAGUAUCAUGAAAU
rnacentral:rRNA from 1 species